GUUCCCGUCAGCUAUCCGCUCGUGCUCCAGGAACGUGAAGAACAGUUUAUAUCCAGCAAUCAUGUUACGUUAGAAGAAGCAAAAAGGGAACCGCAGUUCCAGCCUGUACACCUCACCCCCCUCCCCGCUGCUGUCCAGAGCGUGUCAACAGUCUGUUUCGUGCUGCACCAGCAGCUUAUUGUUCGGCCAUUUAGUUUUAUUUUUAAUAACCAAUGCUGUCCAUAUUACUCCAAAAUCCAAACCCCAAGUUCAUUGGGUACCCAGGAAACCAAGUAUUAAGUACUUUG